GCAAGAGGGUAAUGGCUGUGGUCUGCAGGAAGACAUCCAGCCCCGCCCAUGUCACACACGUCAGACAUCCAGUUUGCCUACGAUACAAAUCACGUGAUCUCCUCCCGCCUUUACACUUCAGGAGACAGUGAAGAAGGAGAAGGGUACCAUGUCGCAUCCCACCCAUUUCUUGGCUAAUGAGGAGCCUGCUAUUCCUGCUGCAGAUACAUUCAACUGUCCAUGUUGUUCCUUCAGUACCAGUCUAAAUUACUCAGCCCACUACCACCUCAGAAACCAUUUAAAUGGAGCAGUGCACCAUGGAGGACAGAGUGAAAUCGGGUGAGUGAGAGAGAGCGGGGGGUGACAUGCAGCAAAUGGUCACAAGCCGGAGUCGAACCUGCGACCGCUGCAGUAAGGCAUCGCCUCUGUACAUGGGGUGCUGGCACUAUCCACUACGCUACUGACGCCCCAAUAUAAAACUCUAUUUUGAGAA